rnacentral:lncRNA from 1 species
CUCUAUCAAGUGGUAUCAGUUUUCAGGUUGCUCGGUGAGAAUUUCCAGUUUUUCCUAGAUUAGAUUUAUUUUCUUACCUAUUGUCCAAGAAAAAGCCACAAAACAAAAGUUAGAUCUAUUCAUCCUUUGUCCUAGCCAGACUGAGCUUUUGCCCAAUUACUAGAGCUCGUGCAUGCCAACUAAAUUACCAGGUACUUUCGUUUCUUGGUAAUGAUUCUAAUGUUCAUGAGAAUAUGAUGCUGCCUAAAUUGGAUACAUUUGUUUUGCUUACAAAUGAAGGGCCUAGCUUGGAGAAGGAUGAACAUUGGAGCAAGAACAAGCAUGGAGAUGAUGGCAUGCGCAAGGGGAACAAGAACGGAGUUACAAGUGAUGAUUUCAGGACUUUGAAGCCACCAUAAUGGGUGCAUGAAGCCAUGGACGAAAUAUACAAGAUGCCACUUCAUAAAUUUCGUCCCGAGGCUAUUUUAGGUGCUGCGUCACCUUAUUAUUGGGCCAGGCCCAUGUAAUUUCGAAAUACAUAAGUAUAGGCUAUUUUUAGAGUCCGUAUGUGUGGGGAAACAAGAGAUAGGGUUGAUUUCGGACCCCUCCACCAAGGGCCACGAAAUUCCCCCCUCUUCCUCCAUAUAUACAGCCCUUAGGGCAUCGUUUAGACUUUGGGUUUUGUUUAGAUUAAAAGUUCGCCAUUGCUGCAACUUCGCGUACUUCGUUUGUGUUCAACGACCAGACAAAGGCGUCACAGAACCCCACCUUGAUCAAUAAAGCUUUCAUCUUAUAUUCGCAAUAUCCAGAUUGCAAUCUUAGUUUCUUGCUUGUUCUUCGUUUGCUCGCAGGAAACAGACCCUCGUGGUCAGGUUGAUCGUGCUCCGGCGUGGUCAAUAACCUCUCGGAGUUGGUUUAGCGAUUGCUAAGGCGCGACGUCCUCGCACGUUCGUAGUCGGAUCGUCAAAGUCGACUUCCACCAAAGCGAAAUCCACCAUCUCAUCGAAAGACGGGACACCUUUGCCGCUAUCAUGUGCCCUUUUGAAGUUGUGUAUGGUUUCCUACCUCGUGCACCUAUUGAUUUGUUGCCUCUUCCAUCUUCGGAGAAGGUUAAUUUUGAUGCUAAACAACGUGCUGAAUUGAUUUUAAAAAUGCAUGAGUUAACUAAGGAAAACAUUGAGCGUAUGAAUGCUAAAUAUAAACUUGCUGGAGAUAAGGGUAGAAAACAUGUUGUGUUUGCACCUGGAGAUCUUGUUUGGUUACAUUUGCGUAAGGAUAGAUUUCCUGAUUUGCGCAAAUCAAAGCUAAUGCCACGUGCUGAUGGUCCCUUUAAGGUGUUAGAGAAAAUAAAUGAUAAUGCAUAUAAACUUGAGCUGCCUGCAGAUUUUGGGGUUAGUCCCACUUUUAACAUUGCAGAUUUGAAGCCUUAUUUGGGUGAGGAAGAUGAACUUCCAUUGAGGACGACUUCAUUUCAAGAAGGGGAGGAUGAUGAGGACAUCAAUACAAUUGUUACACCCACAGCCCCUGCUGCUAUACAUACUGGACCAAUUACUAGAGCUCGUGCACGCCAACUAAAUUACCAGGUACUUUCGUUUCUUGGUAAUGUUUCUAAUGUUCAUGAGAAUAUGAUGCUGCCUAAAUUGGAUACAUUUGUUUUGCUUAUAAAUGAAGGGCCUAGCUUGGAGAAGGGUGAACAUUGGAGCAAGAACAAGCAUGGAGAUGAUGGCAUGCCCAAGGGGAACAAGAACGGAGUUACAAGUGAUGAUUUCAGGACUUUGAAGCCACCAUAAUGGGUGCAUGAAGCCUUGGACGAAAUAUACAAGAUGCCACUUCAUAAAUUUCGUCCCGAGGCUAUUUUAGGUGCUGCGUCACCUUAUUAUUGGGCCAGGCCCAUGUAAUUUCGAAAUACAUAAGUAUAGGCUAUUUUUAGAGUCCGUAUGUGUGGGGAAACAAGAGAUAGGGUUGAUUUCGGACCCCUCCACCAAGGGCCACGAAAUUCCCCCCUCUUCCUCCAUAUAUACAGCCCUUAGGGCAUCGUUUAGACUUUGGGUUUUGUUUAGAUUAAAAGUUCACCAUAGCUGCAACUUCGCGUACUUCGUUUGUGUUCAACGACCAGACAAAGGCGUCACAGAACCCCACCUUGAUCAAUAAAGCUUUCAUCUUAUAUUCGCAAUAUCCAGAUUGCAAUCUUAGUUUCUUGCUUGUUCUUCAUUUGCUCGCAGGAAACAGACCCUCGUGGUCAGGUUGAUCGUGCUCCGGCGUGGUCAAUAACCUCUCGGAGUUGGUUUAGCGAUUGCUAAGGCGCGACGUCCUCGCAAGUUCGUAGUCGGAUCGUCAAAGUCGACUUCCACCAAAGCGAUAUCCAUCAUCUCAUCGAAAGACGGGACACCUUUGCCUCUAUCACUUGAGCUCAUUAAAAGAGGUGGAUUGCAAAGAUCCCCAAACAAAAGGAGCAUUCUUCUUACUCAAGGUAUGCAAAGGAGCGGCAAUUGUGCUAAAGUUUUUCACAAAUCGGCGAUAAAAUCCUGCAAGGCCAAGGAAACUACGCACUUGUUGCAAAUUGGUUGGUUGGGGCCAAGUUUUAAUUGCCUCAAUUUUAGAUUCGUCAACCUGAACACCUUUUGAAGAGACAACAAAUCCCAAGAAAACCACUUUAUCAACACCAAAUGUGCAUUUUUUCAAAUUUGCAUAAAGGCUUUCCUUGCGAAGGGUUUGCAAAACAGAUUUAACAUGAUUAAUAUGGUCUUUCAUUGUUUUGCUAAACACAAGAAUGUCAUCAAAGUAAACCACAACAAAUACUCCAAUGUAAGGUCUAAGCACAUGAUGCAUAAGACGCACGAAAGUACCGGGAGCUUCCGAUAGACCCAUAGGCAUGACUAACCACUCAUACAAGCCGAAUUUAGUUUUGAAAGCAGUUUUCCAUUCAUCACCUUCUUGAAUGCGAAUUUGAUAAUAGCCACUUUUAAGAUCUAUUUUUGAGAAAAAGUUGGCUCCGCUAAGUUCAUCAAGCAUAUCAUCUAAGCGAGGAAUGGGGUGCCUAUAGCGAACGGUAAUAGCAUUUAUAGGUCUACAAUCGGAACACAAGCGGAAACUUCCAUCGGGCUUAGGCACAAGUAUAACGGGAACGGCGCAAGGGCUUAAGCUUUCACGUACAUGACCGUUGUCGAUGAGUUGUUGUACUUGCCGUUGGAUUUCCCUUGUCUCUUCGGGGUUGACACGGUAUGGAGCUUUGUUUGGAAGUGGCGCUCCGGGGAUGAGGUCGAUUCGAUGCUCAAUGCCUCGAAGUGGAGGGAGACCCGGAGGUAGCUCAUCGGGGAAAACAUCUUGGAAUUCCCGCAAAAGAGAUUGAAACAAUAAAGGUAGCUCGUGAGAGGUGUUAGUUGUUUGCUCUCCAUCUUUGCACACGAGGACGAAGUGCAUCACACUCGAUGGGUUCUCACACACUUCUCUAAUCUCACUUUUGGUGGCAAAUAGGAUGAGGUUUUUCUCUCUAGGCGAAGAGGCGCUCAUAUUUGGCUUGUGGCUCUCACUCACUUUUGGGCGGGUAACUUUCUCACUCUUCUCGCCAUGGUGGGUGGUUUGCUUGUCGGCUAUCACUUGACUAGGAGACAUAGGUCGUAGCACAUACUCCUUCCCUUUCAUCUUGAAGCUAUAGUGAUUGGUGCGCCCAUUGUGGAUGACACCACGGUCGAAUUUCCAUGGUCGACCAAGAAGGAGGUGGCAAACGGUCAUUGGGACCACAUCACAUUCCAAAGUGUCUUCAUAGGCACCAAUUUUGAAGGAGACUUGGACCGUAUGUGAUGAGGACAUCAAUACAAUUGUUACACCCACAGCCCCUGCUGCUAUACAUACUGGACCAAUUACUAGAGCUCGUGCACGCCAACUAAAUUACCAGGUACUUUCGUUUCUUGGUAAUGAUUCUAAUGUUCAUGAGAAUAUGAUGCUGCCUAAAUUGGAUACAUUUGUUUUGCUUACAAAUGAAGGGCCUAGCUUGGAGAAGGAUGAACAUUGGAGCAAGAACAAGCAUGGAGAUGAUGGCAUGCGCAAGGGGAACAAGAACGGAGUUACAAGUGAUGAUUUCAGGACUUUGAAGCCACCAUAAUGGGUGCAUGAAGCCUUGGACGAAAUAUACAAGAUGCCACUUCAUAAAUUUUGUCCCGAGGCUAUUUUAGGUGUUGCGUCACCUUAUUAUUGGGCCAGGCCCAUGCAAUUUUGAAAUACAUAACUAUAGGCUAUUUUUAGAGUCCGUAUGUGUGGGGAAACAAGAGAUAGGGUUGAUUUCGGACCCCUCCACCAAGGGCCACGAAAUUCCCCCCCUCUUCCUCCAUAUAUACAGCCCUUAGGGCAUCGUUUAGACUUUGGGUUUUGUUUAGAAUAAAAGUUCGCCAUAGCUGCAACUUCGCGUACUUCGUUUGUGUUCAACGACCAGACAAAGGCGUCACAGAACCCCACCUUGAUCAAUAAAGCUUUCAUCUUAUAUUCGCAAUAUCCAGAUUGCAAUCUCAGUUUCUUGCGUGUUCUUCAUUUGCUCGCAGGAAACAGACCCUCGUGGUCAGGUUGAUCGUGCUCCGGCGUGGUCAAUAACCUCUCGGAGUUGGUUUAGCGAUUGCUAAGGCGCGACGUUCUCGCACGUUCGUAGUCGGAUCGUCAAAGUCGACUGCCACCAAAGCGAUAUCCAUCAUCUCAUCGAAAGACGGGACACCUUUGCCUCUAUCAAGUGGUAUCAGAUUUCCAGGUUGCUCGGUGAGAUUUUACAGUUUUUCGUAGUUUAGAUCGAGUCUGUUCUUCAUACCUAUAGUCCACGAAAAAGCCACAAAAAAAAUUAGGGUUAGUUCAUCAUAUCCGAACCAAUCUGAGCCUUUGCAUAAUCCUUUUAGGGUUUUGCUUUGUUGAAUUUGCGGUUGCAUCGUCGUGUCUAGUUGCUGGUCUUAGAGUCUAGUCUUUUAGAGUUUCGAGUUCUGGUCAUAAGUUGUCACGCCGCCGCCGCACCAUCAUCAUCACCCCUGCCAUCUACCACCACCGCUUAUCCGCCACCGCUUCGAAUCCGUAUCCAUAUACCACCACAGCUGUCAUAUACCACCACCGCUGCCAUCUACCACCAUAUAUCCACCACCAAUCCGAGUUCGUGUCAUAUUAGGUUUGUUUUCGAGAUCCAUCUAGAUUCCGAUUCGUGUUUCCUUGCCGAAGUAGGUUUCGGAAAAAAAAGAGUCCGGAAACCACGCUCCGUUUAGGCCCAAAUUUUUUCGAAAACGCAUUUUUCGAAAAAAAUUCUGGCUAUCCUAUUUUUAGGUGUUUCUGAGUGUUUUGAGACAGGUGCCAUUAUAGGAAGUUUUUUUUGACCCGUUUCCAGUUUUUGGGUCCGGGCAGUCGAAAAAAAAAAUUGGUCGAAAAAAUUUCGUGCCCAUCCUGUCAGUUUGAGCUAGGAAGAGUUUUGAGACACUCGCCAUUAUAGUGAUUUUUCGCAAAAAAAAGCAGCGCACAAAAAAAAGAGCGCAAAAAAAAAGAGCGAAAAAAAAUUCCAGAGUGUGCUUUUUCCUUGUUUACGUGCCGCGCCGUGAUUUUGUUGGUGUUCUAGGCUCGCGUCUCUAGCACAGUCUAGCCUAGGACCAGCACAGUACCGUCGUUGAGCGUUUAUUCAACUUUGCAUCUCUGAAUUGAUUAUUGCUGACCCUUUUUGCUACCAUAUUAUAAGCCUUCCCAGCUCCACAUACAUCUACGUCGUGCGUUUGACUCUCCCUGGUAAUCGCUCUAUCCAAGCUUUGAGAGUUUUUGACUACAACGGUUGCCGAUCACCGCCUGCUGCUGGGAAAGAACUGGUAAGAAUUUGAGAUUUGCUUGACGGAUUUGUGACACCCACCACCACCUCUUGUUAGUAGUCUGUAGGAUCAUAUUCUUGUGUGUUUCUAUUGCUGCUAACCAUGCCAGGAUCACAAGCCGACGAGACUGACUGGGAGAACAUGACGAAUAAGGAUUUGCAUGAUAAAUUUCAGCAAAUGAUGAGUGGACAGGUGCAAGACGUGCUAAACAGAUUUGAAGAGGCCAUGGAGAAGAUAGAUGGCAUGGAGAAGACGUUCGAAACAAAGCUCGAUAACAAGUUUACUGAAUUGCUCGCGCGUCUUCCACCACCACCACCCGCUGCACCUAACACACCUCUCCAACAACAACAACAACGACUACCUCCACGUCGCGAAAUAGACCUCCGCCGAGCGAGCCGUGUUCCUCUUGCGUUUGGCCAAACUGUUGGAGCUGCUCUUGAUACUUCUGUGGCUCCUGCUGCUGAUGCGGAGGAGGAUGAUUAUGUGGGAGAUUACGAGGAUGAGGUUGCUCAAAAUCAGAACUACGUGCAACCACCAGCACCACCACCAGCAGGUCGACCUCAGGUAUAUAUUCGUAAUGGUAGGCCUGCACCACCACCUCAGGUACGAGAUGAUGUCCAUAUUCCUAAACUGAAAUUGAAUAUUCCACCAUUUGAGGGUAGAUAUGUUCCUGAUAUAUAUCUUACUUGGGAGUUAGAAACUGAACAACGUUUUACAUGUUUACAAUAUCCCGAGGAGAGACGGGUUGUUGCUGCUGUUUGUGCUUUCACUAGUUUUGCAUGUGUCUGGUGGUUUGAACAUUGUAGAUUAUAUCCUAUUCCAACUACUUGGGCUGCUUUGAAAACUGCUAUGCGUACGCGUUGGGUUCCACCAUAUUAUCAACGUGAAUUGCUUCAAAAGUUUAAGACAAGGGAAAAAUUCUGUAGAAGAAUAUUAUCAGGAAUAACAAACUGGCAUGAUUCGAUGUGGUAUUGUUGAGGAGAAUGAAGCUAUGCUUGCACAUUUUCUGGGUGGAUUAAAUAGAGAGAUUUAGACCAUUCUAGACUAUAAGGAGUAUACUAAUAUCACUCGUUUAUUCCAUCUUGCUUGUAAAGCUGAACGUGAAGUGCAGGAUCGACAAGCAUUGGCACGAACUAACUUUUCUGCAGGCCGACCUUCAUCAUGGACACCACGUGCAUCUUCUACUUCAACUGCACCAGCACCUCCAUCCGGUGCCACCUCCAGCCGUGAUACAAGAAAACAGGCACAACCACCAUUAUCUGCCAAGAGCGCACCUGCGGGGCCUGCACAGCGUUCUUCUUCUUCCAUGGCAUCAACAGGGCACACAAGUGAUAUUAUUUGUCGUCGUUGUAAGGGAGGAGGUCAUUAUGCGAGAGAAUGCAAAUCUCCGCGUGUGAUGAUUGCUACCGAGGGUGGUGGAUAUGAGUCCGCUAGUGACUAUGAUGAGGAGACAUUGGCUCUUAUUACACGUGAAGAACAUGGUGGAGAUGAUUCUGAUCAUGAGACGCAAUACAUGGCUCCUGAAGACGCUGACAUGUAUGAAUGUUUAGUUGCUCAACGUGUUUUGAGUGUGCAGGUCACACAAGCUGAGCAAAAUCAGAGGCACAAUUUGUUCCAUACCAAGGGAGUUGUGAAGGAACGUUCUGUGCGCGUCAUAAUAGACGGAGGGAGCUGCAACAACUUGGCUAGCAUGGAGAUGGUGGAGAAGCUUUCUCUCACCACAAGACCACAUCCACAUCCUUACUACAUCCAAUGGUUCAACAACAGCGGCAAGGUUAAGGUAACACGUACUGUUCGUGUGCAUUUUAGUAUCUCUACAUAUGCUGAUUAUGUUGAUUGUGAUGUGGUACCUAUAAAAGCAUGUUCCUUAUUACUUGGUAGACCAUGGCAAUUUGAUAAAAAUUCUGUACACCAUGGUAGAAACAAUCACUAUACUCUUGUUCAUAAGGAUAAAAAUAUUACUUUGCUUCCUAUGACUCCUGAUUCCAUUUUGAAAGAUGGUAUUAAUAGAGCUAAUAAAGCAAAACAGGAGAAGAAUAAGAGUGAAAAUCAGAUUGUGGCAAAAGAAUUUGAGCAACAAAUGAAGCCUAAUAAUAAACCAUCUAGUGUUGCUUCUGAAAUUAAAUUGAAAAGUGCAUGUUUAUUUGCCACCAAAUCUGAUAUUGAUGAGCUAGAUUUCAGCAAAUCUGUUUGCUAUGCUUUUGUGUGCAAAGAGGCAUUAUUUUCAUUCGAGGACGUGCCUUCCUCUUUGCCUCCUGCUGUCACUAAUAUUUUGCAGGAGUUCGCUGACGUUUUUCCACAAGACGUGCCACCGGGAUUACCGCCUAUUCGAGGGAUUGAGCAUCAUAUUGACUUAAUUCCCGGUGCUUCACUGCCAAACCGUGCACCAUACCGUACCAAUCCAGAGGAGACGAAGGAAAUUAUGCGUCAAGUACAAGAGAUUCUCGACAAAGGUUAUAUACGCGAAUCCCUUAGUCCUUGUGCUAUUCCUAUUAUUCUAGUGCCGAAAAAGGAUGGUACAUCACGUAUGUGUGUUGAUUGUAGAGGCAUUAAUAAUAUUACUAUUCGUUAUCGUCAUCCUAUUCCUAGGCUAGAUGAUAUGCUUGAUGAAUUGAGUGGCUCUACAAUAUUCUCCAAAGUUGAUUUGCGUAGUGGCUACCAUCAAAUUCGUAUGAAAUUGGGAGAUGAAUGGAAAACAGCAUUUAAAACUAUGUUUGGAUUAUAUGAGUGGUUAGUCAUGCCUUUUGGGUUAACUAAUGCACCUAGUACUUUCAUGAGAUUAAUGAACGAAGUUUUACGUGCUUUCAUUGGACGAUUUGUGGUAGUUUACUUUGAUGACAUAUUGAUUUAUAGCAGAUCUUUGGAAGAACAUUUGGAACAUUUACGUGCUGUUUUUAUUGCUCUACGUGAUGCACGUUUGUUUGGUAACCUUGGGAAGUGCACCUUUUGCACCGAACGAGUAUCUUUUCUUGGCUAUGUUGUUACUCCACAGGGAAUUGAAGUUGAUAAAGCCAAGACUGAAGCUAUUGAGAGUUGGCCGCAGCCCAAAACGGUCACACAAGUGAGGAGUUUUCUUUGCCUCGCUGGAUUCUAUAGGCGUUUUGUGAGAGAUUUCAGCACCAUUGCUGCACCUCUCAAUGAGCUUACAAAGAAAGAUGUGCCUUUUCUUUGGGGUACCGCACAGGAAGAAGCCUUCACGGUAUUGAAAGAUAAGUUGACACAUGCUCCUUUACUCCAACUUCCUAAUUUUAAUAAGACUUUUGAGCUUGAAUGUGAUGCUAGUGGAAUUGGAUUAGGAGGUGUGUUAUUACAAGAUGGCAAACCUGUUGCAUACUUUUCUGAAAAAUUGAGUGGGCCUAGUCUGAAUUAUUCUACUUAUGAUAAAGAAUUAUAUGCUCUUUGAUGAGGACAUCAAUACCAUUGUUACACCCACAGCCGCUACUGCUACAUAUACGGGACCAAUUACUAGAGCUCGCGCACGCCAAUUAGAUUAUCAGGUACUUUCGUUUCUUGGUAAUGAUUCUAAUGUUCAUGAGAAUAUGAUGCUGCCUAAAUUGGAUACAUUUGUUUUGCUUACAAAUGAAGGGCCUAGCUUGGAGAAGGAUGAACAUUGGAGCAAGAACAAGCAUGGAGAUGAUGCCAUGCGCAAGGGGAACAAGAACGGAGUUACAAGUGAUGAUUUCAGGACUUUGAAGCCACCAUAAUGGGUGCAUGAAGCCUUGGACGAAAUAUACAAGAUGCCACUUCAUAAAUUUCAUCCCGAGGCUAUUAUAGGUGCUGCGUCACCUUUUUAUUGGGCCAGGCCCAUGUAAUUUCGAAAUACAUAAGUAUAGGCUAUUUUUAGAGUCCGUAUGUGUGGGGAAACAAGGGAUAGGGUUGAUUUCGGACACCUCCACCAAGGGCCACGAAAUUCCCCUCUCUUCCUCCAUAUAUACAGCCCUUAGGGCACCGUUUAGAUUUUGGGUUUUGUUUAGAUUAAAAGUUAGCCAUAGCUGCAACUUCGCGUACUUCGUUUGUGUUCAACGACCAGACAAAGGCGUCACAGAACCCCACCUUGAUCAAUAAAGCUUUCAUCUUAUAUUCGCAAUAUCCAGAUUGCAAUCUCAGUUUCUUGCUUGUUCUUCGUUUGCUUGCAGGAAACAGACCCUCGUGGUCAGGUUGAUCGUGCUCCGGCGUGGUCAAUAACCUCUCGGAGUUGGUUUAGCGAUUGCUAAGGCGCGACGUCCUCGCACGUUCGUAGUCGGAUCGUCAAAGUCGACUGCCACCAAAGCGAUAUCCAUCAACUCAUUGAAAGACGGGACACCUUUGCCUCUAUCAAGUGGUAUCAGAUUUCCAGGUUGCUCGGUGAGAUUUUACAGUUUUUCAUAGUUUAGAUCGAGUCUGUUCUUCAUACCUAUAGUCCACGAAAAAGCCAAAAAAAAAUUAGGGUUAGUUCAUCCCAUCCGAACCAAUCUGAGCCUUGCAUAAUCUUUUCUGUAUUUGCUUUGUUGAAUUUGCGGUUGCAUCGUCGUGUCCAGUUGCUGGUCUUAGCGUCUAGUCUUUUAGAGUUUCGAGUUCUGUUCACAGGUUGUCACAUCGACGCUGGCAUAUAUCACCAUCGCAUCAUCAUCGUCGCUGUUGCCAUAUACCACCACCACAUAUUCACCGCCAAUUCGAAUCCAUAUACGCCACCACAUAUCCGCCGCCAUCACGCCAAUCCGAGUUCACCUGCAACAUAUAUCCGCCACCUGUCCGUGUUCCACCAGAUUCAUCUCCGCCACCAGUCCGAGUUCCACCAGAUUCAUCUCCGCCACCAGUCCUAGUCCGAGUCCAGUAAUUGUUGCAUUGUUCUCGAUUUCCAGAUCACGCGACACUCCGAGUCGUGACAGAGAAGGACUCCCCAACUUCCGAGCCAUCCGCAGAAGAAAAAUAGUUCCAAUUUCAAAAAAAAACUAAGUCCGGAAAAUUCUGGCUAGGCAGUUUUUAGACCAUUUGUAGACUUUUUCGAAAAAAAUUUGUUGCGGAGCAAAAAAAAAAGAGGAAAAAAAAGUGCAAAAAAAAGAGAAAAAAAAUUCAGAGUGUGCUCCUCCCUUGUUUACGUACCGCGCCGUGAUUUUGUUGGUGUUCUAGGCUCGCGUCUCUAGCACAGUCUAGCCUAGGACCAGCACAGUACCGUCCUUGAGCAUUUAUUCAACUUUGCAUCUCUGAAUUGAUUAUUGCUGACCCUUUUUGCUACCAUAUUAUAAGCCUUCCCAGCUCCACAUACAUCUACGUCGUGCGUUUGACUCUCCCUGGUAAUCUCUCUAUCCAAGCUUUGAGAGUUUUGACUACAACGGUUGCCGAUCACCGCCUGUUGCUGGGUAAGAACUGGUAAGAAUUUGAGUUUUGCUUGACGGAUUUGUGACACCCACCACCACCACUUGUUCGUAGUCUGUAGGAUCAUAUUCUUGUGUGUUUCUAUUGCUGCUAACCAUGCCAGGAUCACAAGCCGACGAGAUUGACUGGGAGAAUUUAUCGAACAAGGAGCUUCAUGAUAAGUUUCAGCAAAUGAUGACUGAACAGGUGCAAGAUGUGCUGAACAAUUUUGAAGAGGCCAUGGAGAAGAUCACUGGCCUUGAGAAGACGUUCGAAACAAAGCUCGAUAACAAGUUUAAUGAAUUGCUCGCGCGUCUUCCACCACCACCACCCGCUGCACCUAACGCACCUCUCCAACAACAACAACAACGACUACCUCCACGUCGCGAAACAGACCUCCGCCGAGCAAGCCGUGUUCCUCUUGCAUUUGGCCAAACUGUUGGUGCUGCUGUUGAUACUUCUGUGGCUCCUGCUGCUGAUGCGGAGGAGGAUGAUUAUGUGGGAGAUUAUGAGGAUGAGGUUGAUCAAAAUCAGCACUACGUGCAGCCACCUGUACCACCACCAGCAGGUCGACCUCACGUAUAUAUUCGUAAUGGUAGGCCUGCACCACCACCUCAGGUACGAGAUGAUGUCCAUAUUCCUAAACUGAAAUUGAAUAUUCCACCAUUUGAGGGUAGAAAUGUUCCUGAUAUAUAUCUUACUUGGGAGUUAGAAACUGAACAACGAUUUACAUGUUUACAAUACCCUGAGGAGAGACGAGUUGCUGCUGCUAUUUGUGCUUUCACUAGUUUUGCAUGUGUAUGGUGGUCUGAACAUUGUAGAUUAUAUCCUAUUCCAACUACUUGGGCUGCUUUGAAAACUGCUAUGCGUACGCGUUGGGUUCCACCAUAUUAUCAACGUGAAUUGCUUCGAAAAUUGGAGCGUUUAAGACAAGGGAAAAAUUCUGUAGAAGAAUAUUAUCAGGAAUUACAAACUGGCAUGAUUAGAUGUGGUAUUGUUGAGGAGAAUGAAGCUAUGCUUGCACAUUUUCUGGGUGGAUUAAAUAGAGAGAUUCAGACCAUUCUAGACUAUAAGGAGUAUACUAAUAUCACUCGUUUAUUCCAUCUUGCUUGUAAAGCUGAACGUGAAGUGCAGGAUCGACAAGCAUUGGGGCGAACUAACUUUUCUGCAGGCCGACCUUCAUCAUGGACACCACGUGCAUCUUCUACUUCAACUGCACCAGCACCUCCAUCCGGUGCCACCUCCAGCCGUGAUACAAGAAAACAGGCACAACCACCAUUAUCUGCCAAGAGCGCACCUGCGGGGCCUGCACAGCGUUCUUCUUCUUCCAUGGCAUCAACAGGGCACACAAGUGAUAUUAUUUGUCAUCGUUGUAAGGGAGGAGGUCAUUAUGCGAGAGAAUGCAAAUCUCCGCGUGUGAUGAUUGCUACCGCGGAUGGUGGAUAUGAGUCUGCUAGUGACUAUGAUGAGGAGACUUUGGCUCUUAUUACACGUGAAGAACAUGGUGGAGAUGAUUCUGAUCAUGAAACGCAAUACAUGGCUCCUGAAGAUGCUGACAGGUAUGAAUGUUUAGUUGCUGAACGUGUUUUGAGUGUGCAGAUCACACAAGCUGAGCAAAAUCAGAGGCACAAUUUGUUCCAUACCAAGGGAGUUGUGAAGGAACGUUCUAUGCGCGUCAUCAUAGACGGAGGGAGCUGCAACAACUUGGCUAGCAUGGAGAUGGUGGAGAAGCUUUCUCUCACCACAAGACCACAUCCACAUCCUUACUACAUCCAAUGGUUCAACAACAGCGGCAAGGUUAAGGUAACACGUACUGUUCGUGUGCAUUUUAGUAUCUCUACAUAUGUUGAUUAUGUUGAUUGUGAUGUGGUACCUAUGCAAGCAUGUUCCUUAUUACUUGGUAGACCAUGGCAAUUUGAUAAAAAUUCUGUACACCAUGGUAGAAACAAUCACUAUACUCUUGUUCAUAAGGAUAAAAAUAUUACUUUGCUUACUAUGACUCCUGAUUCCAUUUUGAAAGAUGAUAUUAAUAGAGCUAAUAAAGCAAAACAGGAGACGAAUAAGAGUGAAAAUCAGAUUGUGGCAAAAGAAUUUGAGCAACAAAUGAAGCCUAAUAAUAAACCAUCUAGUGUUGCUGCUGAAAUUAAAUUGAAAAGUGCAUGUUUAUUUGCCACCAAAUCUGAUAUUGAUGAGCUAGAUUUCAGCAAAUCUGUUUGCUAUGCUUUUGUGUGCAAAGAGGCAUUAUUUUCAUUCGAGGACGUGCCUUCCUCUUUGCCUCCUGCUGUCACUAACAUUUUGCAGGAGUUCGCUGACGUCUUUCCACAAGACGUGCGACCGGGAUUACCGCCUAUUCGAGGGAUUGAGCAUCAGAUUGACUUAAUUCCCGGUGCUUCACUGCCAAACCGUGCACCAUACCGUACCAAUCUAGAGGAGACGAAGGAGAUUAUGCGUCAAGUACAAGAGCUUCUCGACAAAGGUUAUAUACGCGAAUCCCUUAGUCCUUGUGCUGUUCCUAUUAUUCUAGUGCCGAAAAAGGAUGGUACAUCACGUAUGUGUGUUGAUUGUAGAGGCAUUAAUAAUAUUACUAUUCGUUAUCGUCAUCCUAUUCCUAGGCUAGAUGAUAUGCUUGAUGAAUUGAGUGGCUCUACAAUAUUCUCCAAAGUUGAUUUGCGUAGUGGAUACCAUCAAAUUCGUAUGAAAUUGGGAGAUGAAUGGAAAACAACAUUCAAAACUAUGUUUGGAUUAUAUGAGUGGUUAGUCAUGCCUUUUGGGUUAACUAAUGCACCUAGUACUUUCAUGAGAUUAAUGAACGAAGUUUUACGUGCUUUCAUUGGACGAUUUGUGGUAGUUUACUUUGAUGACAUAUUGAUUUAUAGCAGAUCUUUGGAAGAACAUUUGGAACAUUUACGUGCUGUUUUUAUUGCUCUACGUGAUGCACGUUUGUUUGGUAACCUUGGGAAGUGCACCUUUUGCACCGACCGAGUAUCUUUUCUUGGCUAUGUUGUUACUCCACAGGGAAUUGAAGUUGAUAAAGCCAAGAUUGAAGCUAUUGAGAGUUGGCCGCAACCCAAAACGGUCACACAAGUGAGGAGUUUUCUUGGCCUCGCUGGAUUCUAUAGGCGUUUUGUGAGAGAUUUUAGCACCAUUGCUGCACCUCUCAAUGAGCUUACAAAGAAAGAUGUGCCUUUUCUUUGGGGUACCGCACAGGAAGAAGCCUUCUCGGUAUUGAAAGAUAAGUUGACACAUGCUCCUUUACUCCAACUUCCUGAUUUUAAUAAGACUUUUGAGCUUGAAUGUGAUGCUAGUGGAAUUGGAUUAGGCGGUGUGUUAUUACAAGAUGGCAAACCUGUUGCAUACUUUUCUGAAAAAUUGAGUGGGCCUAGUCUGAAUUAUUCUACUUAUGAUAAAAUUAUAUGCUCUUGUUCGGACUUUAGAAACAUGGCAACAUUAUUUAUGGCCCAAAGAAUUUGUUAUACAUUCUGAUCAUGAAUCUUUGAAACAUAUUAAAAGUCAAGCUAAACUGAAUCGUAGACAUGCUAAAUGGGUUGAAUUCAUCGAGACUUUUCCUUAUGUCAUUAAACACAAGAAGGGAAAAGAAAAUGUUAUUGCUGAUGCAUUGUCUCGCCGCUAUACUAUGCUUUCACAACUUGACUUCAACAUAUUUUGUUUGGAGACCAUCAAAGAUCAAUAUGUGCAUGAUGCUGAUUUUAAAAAUGUAAUGCAGAAUUGUAAAGAAGGAAGAAUGUGGAACAAGUUCGUCGUUAACAAUGGAUUUGUGUUUCGUGCUAACAAGCUAUGCAUUCCAGCUAGCUCCGUUCGUCUUUUGUUGUUGCAGGAGGCGCAUGGAGGAGGAUUAAUGGGACACUUUGGCGUGAAGAAGACGGAGGACGUACUUGCUACACAUUUCUUUUGGCCAAAGAUGAGACGGGAUGUUGAGCGUUUUAUUGCUCGCUGCACUACAUGUCAAAAAGCUAAGUCACGACUCAAUCCUCAUGGUUUAUAUAUGCCGCCUGUACCUAGUGUUCCUUGGGAGGAUAUAUCUAUGGACUUUGUUUUAGGUUUACCUCGAACAAAGAAGGGGAGGGAUAGCAUAUUUGUUGUCGUGGAUAGAUUCUCGAAAAUGGCACACUUUAUACCAUGUCAUAAAAGCGAUGAUGCUGUUAAUGUUGCUGAUUUGUUCUUUCGUGAAAUUAUUCGCUUGCAUGGUGUGCCAAAUACUAUUGUUUCGGAUCGUGAUACUAAAUUUCUUAGCCACUUUUGGAGAUGUUUAUGGGCUAAGUUGGGGACUAAACUGCUUUUUAGUACUACUUGUCACCCCCAAACUGAUGGACAAACUGAAGUAGUCAAUAGAACUUGUCUACUAUGCUUAGGGCUGUUUUGAAGAAUAAUAAGAAAAUGUGGGAGGAAUCCUUGCCUCAUAUUGAAUUUGCUUAUAAUCGUUCAUUGCAUUCUACUACUAAGAUGUGCCCUUUUGAAGUUGUGUAUGGUUUCCUACCUCGUGCACCUAUUGAUUUGUUGCCUCUUCCAUCUUCGGAGAAGGUUAAUUUUGAUGCUAAACAACGUGCUGAAUUGAUUUUAAAAAUGCAUGAGUUAACUAAGGAAAACAUUGAGCGUAUGAAUGCUAAAUAUAAACUUGCUGGAGAUAAGGGUAGAAAACAUGUUGUGUUUGCACGUGGAGAUCUUGUUUGGUUACAUUUGCGUAAGGAUAGAUUUCCGGAUUUGCGCAAAUCAAAGUUAAUGCCACGUGCUGAUGGUCCCUUUAAGGUGUUAGAGAAAAUAAAUGAUAAUGCAUAUAAACUUGAGCUGCCUGCAGAUUUUGGGGUUAGUCCCACUUUUAACAUUGCAGAUUUGAAGCCUUAUUUGGGUGAGGAAGAUGAGCUUCCGUCGAGGACGACUUCAUUUCAAGAAGGGGAGGAUGAUGAGGACAUCAAUACCAUUGUUACACCCACAGCCCCUACUGCUACAUAUACGGGACCAAUUACUAGAGCUCGCGCACGCCAAUUAAAUUAUUAGGUACUUUCGUUUCUUGGUAAUGAUUCUAAUGUUCAUGAGAAUAUGAUGCUGCCUAAAUUGGAUACAUUUGUUUUGCUUACAAAUGAAGGGCCUAGCUUGGAGAAGGAUGAACAUUGGAGCACGAACAAGCAUGGAGAUGAUGCAUGCGCAAGGGGAACAAGAACGGAGUUACAAGUGAUGAUUUCAGGACUUUGAAGCCACAAUAAUGGGUGCAUGAAGCCUUGGACGAAAUAUACAAGAUGCCACUUCAUAAAUUUCAUCCCGAGGCUAUUAUAGGUGCUGCGUCACCUUUUUAUUGGGCCAGGCCCAUGUAAUUUCGAAAUACAUAAGUAUAGGCUAUUUUUAGAGUCCGUAUGUGUGGGGAAACAAGGGAUAGGGUUGAUUUUGGACCCCUCCACCAAGGGCCACGGUAUUCCCCUCUCUUCCUCCAUAUAUACAGCCCUUAGGGCACCGUUUAGAUUUUGGGUUUUGUUUAGAUUAAAAGUUAGCCAUAGCUGCAACUUCGCGUACUUCGUUUGUGUUCAACGACCAGACAAAGGCGUCACAGAAACCCACCUUGAUCAAUAAAGCUUUCAUCUUAUAUUCGCAAUAUCCAGAUUGCAAUCUCAGUUUCUUGCUUGUUCUUCGUUUGCUUGCAGGAAACAGACCCUCGUGGUCAGGUUGAUCGUGCUCCGGCGUGGUCAAUAACCUCUCGGAGUUGGUUUAGCGAUUGCUAAGGCGCGACGUCCUCGCACGUUCGUAGUCGGAUCGUCAAAGUCGACUGCCACCAAAGCGAUAUCGAUCAUCUCAUCGAAAGACGGGACACCUUUGCCUCUAUCACUCUUGUUCGGACUUUAGAAACAUGGCAACAUUAUUUAUGGCCCAAAAAUUUGUUAUACAUUCUGAUCAUGAAUCUUUGAAACAUAUUAAAAGUCAAGCUAAACUGAAUCGUAUACAUGCUAAAUGGGUUGAAUUCAUUGAGACUUUCCCUUAUGUCAUUAAACACAAGAAGGGAAAAGAAAAUAUUAUUGCUGAUGCAUUGUCUCGUCGCUAUACUAUGCUUUCACAACUUGACUUCAAAAUAUUUGGUUUGGAGACCAUCAAAGAUCAAUAUGUGCAUGAUGCUGAUUUUAAAGAUGUAAUGCAGAAUUGUAAAGAAGGAAGAAUGUGGAACAAGUUUGUUGUUAACGAUGGAUUUGUGUUUCGUGCUAACAAGCUAUGCAUUCCAGCUAGCUCCGUUCGUCUUUUGUUGUUGCAGGAGGCGCAUGGAGGAGGAUUAAUGGGACACUUUGGCGUGAAGAAGACGGAGGACGUACUUGCUACACAUUUCUUUUGGCCAAAGAUGAGACGGGAUGUUGAGCGUUUUAUUGCUCGCUGCACUACAUGUCAAAAAGCUAAGUCACGACUCAAUCCUCAUGGUUUAUAUAUGCCUUUGCCUGUACCUAGUGUUCCUUGGGAGGAUAUAUCUAUGGACUUUGUUUUAGGUUCACCUCGAACAAAGAAGGGGAGGGAUAGCAUAUUUGUUGUCGUGGAUAGAUUCUCGAAAAUGGCACACUUUAUACCAUGUCAUAAAAGUGAUGAUGCUGUUAAUGUUGCUGAUUUGUUCUUUCGUGAAAUUAUUCGCUUGCAUGGUGUGCCAAAUACUAUUGUUUCAGAUCGUGAUACUAAAUUUCUUAGCCACUUUUGGAGAUGUUUAUGGGCUAAGUUGGGGACUAAACUGCUUUUUAGUACUACUUGUCACCCCCAAACUGAUGGACAAACUGAAGUAGUCAAUAGAACGUUGUCUACUAUGCUUAGGGCUGUUUUGAAGAAUAAUAAGAAAAUGUGGGAGGAAUGCUUGCCUCAUAUUGAAUUUGCUUAUAAUCGUUCAUUGCAUUCUACUACUAAGAUGUGCCCUUUUGAAGUUGUGUAUGGUUUCCUACCUCGUGCACCUAUUGAUUUGUUGCCUCUUCCAUCUUCGGAGAAGGUUAAUUUUGAUGCUAAACAACGUGUUGAAUUGAUUUUAAAAAUGCAUGAGUUAACUAAGUGAUAGAGGCAAAGGUGUCCCGUCUUUCGAUGAGAUGGAGGAUUUCGCUUUGGUGGAAGUCGACUUUGACGAUCCGACUACGAACGUGCGAGGACGUCGCGCCUUAGCAAUCGCUAAACCAACUCCGAGAGGUUAUUGACCACGCCGGAGCACGAUCAACCUGACCACGAAGGUCUGUUUCCUGCGAGCAAACGAAGAACAAGCAAGAAACUAAGAUUGCAAUCUGGAUAUUGCGAAUAUAAGAUGAAAGCUUUAUUGAUCAAGGUGGGGUUCUGUGACGCCUUUGUCUGGUCGUUGAACACAAACGAAGUACGCGAAGUUGCAGCUAUGGCGAACUUUUAAUCUAAACAAAACCCAAAGUCUAAACGAUGCCCUAAGGGCUGUAUAUAUGGAGGAAGAGGGGGGGAAUUUCGUGGCCCUUGGUGGAGGGGUCCGAAAUCAACCCUAUCUCUUGUUUCCCCACACAUACGGACUCUAAAAAUAGCCUAUACUUAUGUAUUUUGAAAUUACAUGGGCCUGGCCCAAUAAUAAGGUGACGCAGCACCUAAAAUAGCCUCGGAACGAAAUUUAUGAAGUGGCGUCUUGUAUAUUUCGUCCAAGGCUUCAUGCACCCAUUAUGGUGGCUUCAAAGUCCUGAAAUCAUCACUUGUAACUCCGUUCUUGUUUCCCUUGCGCAUGCCAUCAUCUCCAUGCUUGUUCUUGCUCCAAUGUUCAUCCUUCUCCAAGCUAGGCCCUUCAUUUGUAAGCAAAACAAAUGUAUCCAAUUUAGGCAGCAUCAUAUUCUCAUGAACAUUAGAAUCAUUACCAAGAAACGAAAGUACCUGGUAAUUUAGUUGGCGUGCACGAGCUCUAGUAAUUGGUCCAGUAUGUAUAGCAGCAGGGGCUGUGGGUGUAACAAUUGUAUUGAUGUCCUCAUCACAUAUUAAAAGUCAAGCUAAACUGAAUCGUAGACAUGCUAAAUGGGUUGAAUUCAUUGAGACUUUUCCUUAUGUCAUUAAACACAAGAAGGGAAAAGAAAAUGUUAUUGCUGAUGCAUUGUCUCGCCGCUAUACUAUGCUUUCACAACUUGACUUCAAAAUAUUUGGUUUGGAGACCAUCAAAGAUCAAUAUGUGCAUGAUGCUGAUUUUAAAGAUGUAAUGCAGAAUUGUAAAGAAGGAAGAAUGUGGAACAAGUUCGUCGUUAAUGAUGGAUUUGUGUUUUGUGCUAACAAGCUAUGCAUUCCAGCUAGCUCCGUUCGUCUUUUGUUGUUGCAGGAGGCGCAUGGAGGAGGAUUAAUGGGACACUUUGGCGUGAAGAAGACGGAGGACGUACUUGCUACACAUUUCUUUUGGCCAAAGAUGAGACGGGAUGUUGAGCGUUUUAUUGCUCGCUGCACUACAUGUCAAAAAGCUAAGUCACGACUCAAUCCUCAUGGUUUAUAUAUGCCUUUGCCUGUACCUAGUGUUCCUUGGGAGGAUAUAUCUAUGGACUUUGUUUUAGGUUUACCUCGAACAAAGAAGGGGAGGGAUAGCAUAUUUGUUGUCGUGGAUAGAUUCUCGAAAAUGGCACACUUUAUACCAUGUCAUAAAAGCGAUGAUGCUGUUAAUGUUGCUGAUUUGUUCUUUCGUGAAAUUAUUCGCUUGCAUGGUGUGCCAAAUACUAUUGUUUCAGAUCGUGAUACUAAAUUUCUUAGCCACUUUUGGAGAUGUUUAUGGGCUAAGUUGGGGACUAAAUUGCUUUUUAGUACUACUUGUCACCCCCAAACUGAUGGACAAACUGAAGUAGCCAAUAGAACGUUGUCUACUAUGCUAGGGCUGUUUUGAAGAAUAAUAAGAAAAUGUGGGAGGAAUGCUUGCCUCAUAUUGAAUUUGCUUAUAAUCGUUCAUUGCAUUCUACUACUAAGAUGUGCCCUUUUGAAGUUGUGUAUGGUUUCCUACCUCGUGCACCUAUUGAUUUGUUGCCUCUUCCAUCUUCGGAGAAGGUUAAUUUUGAUGCUAAACAACGUGCUGAAUUGAUUUUAAAAAUGCAUGAGUUAACUAAGGAAAACAUUGAGCGUAUGAAUGCUAAAUAUAAACUUGCUGGAGAUAAGGGUAGAAAACAUGUUGUGUUUGCACCUGGAGAUCUUGUUUGGUUACAUUUGCGUAAGGAUAGAUUUCCUGAUUUCCGCAAAUCGAAGUUAAUGCCACGUGCUGAUGGUCCCUUUAAGGUGUUAGAAAAAAUAAAUGAUAAUGCAUAUAAACUGGAGCUGCCUGCAGAUUUUGGGGUUAGUCCCACUUUUAACAUUGCAGAUUUGAAGCCUUAUUUGGUGAGGAAGAUGAACUUCCGCCGAGGACGACUUCAUUUCAAGAAGGGGAGGAUGAUGAGGACAUCAUUACAACUGUUACACCCACAGCCCCUGCUGCUAUACAUACUGGACCAAUUACUAGAGCUCGUGCACACCAACUAAAUUACCAGGUACUUUCGUUUCUUGGUAAUGAUUCUAAUGUUCAUGAGAAUAUGAUGCUGCCUAAAUUGGAUACAUUUGUUUUGCUUACAAAUGAAGGGCCUAGCUUGGAGAAGGAUGAACAUUGGAGCAAGAACAAGCAUGGAGAUGAUGGCAUGCGCAAGGGGAACAAGAACGGAGUUACAAGUGAUGAUUUCAGGGCUUUGAAGCCACCAUAAUGGGUGCAUGAAGCCUUGGACGAAAUAUACAAGAUGCCACUUCAUAAAUUUCGUCCCGAGGCUAUUUUAGGUGCUGCGUCACCUUAUUAUUGGGCCAGGCCCAUGUAAUUUUGAAAUACAUAAGUAUAGGCUAUUUUUAGAGUCCGUAUGUGUGGGGAAACAAGAGAUAGGGUUGAUUUCGGACCCCUCCACCAAGGGCCACGAAAUUCCCCCCCUCUUCCUCCAUAUAUACAGCCCUUAGGGCAUCGUUUAGACUUUGGGUUUUGUUUAGAAUAAAAGUUCGCCAUAGCUGCAACUUUGCGUACUUCGUUUGUGUUCAACGACCAGACAAAGGCGUCACAGAACCCCACCUUGAUCAAUAAAGCUUUCAUCUUAUAUUCGCAAUAUCCAGAUUGCAAUCUCAGUUUCUUGCGUGUUCUUCGUUUGCUCGCAGGAAACAGACCCUCGUGGUCAGGUUGAUCGUGCUCCGGCGUGGUCAAUAACCUCUCGGAGUUGGUUUAGCGAUUGCUAAGGCGCGACGUCCUCGCACGUUCGUAGUCGGAUCGUCAAAGUCGACUGCCACCAAAGCGAUAUCGAUCAUCUCAUCGAAAGACGGGACACCUUUGCCUCUAUCACUCUUGUUCGGACUUUAGAAACAUGGCAACAUUAUUUAUGGCCCAAAAAUUUGUUAUACAUUCUGAUCAUGAAUCUUUGAAACAUAUUAAAAGUCAAGCUAAACUGAAUCGUAGACAUGCUAAAUGGGUUGAAUUCAUUGAGACUUUCCCUUAUGUCAUUAAACACAAGAAGGGAAAAGAAAAUAUUAUUGCUGAUGCAUUGUCUCGUCGCUAUACUAUGCUUUCACAACUUGACUUCAAAAUAUUUGGUUUGGAGACCAUCAAAGAUCAAUAUGUGCAUGAUGCUGAUUUUAAAGAUGUAAUGCAGAAUUGUAAAGAAGGAAGAAUGUGGAACAAGUUUGUUGUUAACGAUGGAUUUGUGUUUCGUGCUAACAAGCUAUGCAUUCCAGCUAGCUCCGUUCGUCUUUUGUUGUUGCAGGAGGCGCAUGGAGGAGGAUUAAUGGGACACUUUGGCGUGAAGAAGACGGAGGACGUACUUGCUACACAUUUCUUUUGGCCAAAGAUGAGACGGGAUGUUGAGCGUUUUAUUGCUUGCUGCACUACAUGUCAAAAAGCUAAGUCACGACUCAAUCCUCAUGGUUUAUAUAUGCCUUUGCCUGUAACUAGUGUUCCUUGGGAGGAUAUAUCUAUGGACUUUGUUUUAGGUUUACCUCGAACAAAGAAGGGGAGGGAUAGCAUAUUUGUUGUCGUGGAUAGAUUCUCGAAAAUGGCACACUUUAUACCAUGUCAUAAAAGCGAUGAUGCUGUUAAUGUUGCUGAUUUGUUCUUUCGCGAAAUUAUUCGCUUGCAUGGUGUGCCAAAUACUAUUGUUUCAGAUCGUGAUACUAAAUUUCUUAGCCACUUUUGGAGAUGUUUAUGGGCUAAGUUGGGGACUAAACUGCUUUUUAGUACUACUUGUCACCCCCAAACUGAUGGACAAACUGAAGUAGUCAAUAGAACGUUGUCUACUAUGCUUAGGGCUGUUUUGAAGAAUAAUAAGAAAAUGUGGGAGGAAUGCUUGCCUCAUAUUGAAUUUGCUUAUAAUCGUUCAUUGCAUUCUACUACUAAGAUGUGCCCUUUUGAAGUUGUGUAUGGUUUCCUACCUCGUGCACCUAUUGAUUUGUUGCCUCUUCCAUCUUCGGAGAAGGUUAAUUUUGAUGCUAAACAACGUGCUGAAUUGAUUUUAAAAAUGCAUGAGUUAACUAAGGAAAACAUUUAGCGCAUGAAUGCUAAAUAUAAACUUGCUGGAGAUAAGGGUAGAAAACAUGUUGUGUUUGCACCUGGAGAUCUUGUUUGGUUACAUUUGCGUAAGGAUAGAUUUCCUGAUUUGCGCAAAUCAAAGUUAAUGCCACGUGCUGAUGGUCCCUUUAAGGUGUUAGAGAAAAUAAAUGAUAAUGCAUAUAAACUUGAGCUGCCUGCAGAUUUUGGGGUUAGUCCCACUUUUAACAUUGCAGAUUUGAAGCCUUAUUUGGGUGAGGAAGAUGAACUUCUGUCGAGGACGACUUCAUUUCAAGAAGGGGAGGAUGAUGAGGACAUCAAUACAAUUGUUACACCCACAGCCCCUGCUGCUAUACAUACUGGACCAAUUACUAGAGCUCGUGCACGCCAACUAAAUUACCAGGUACUUUCAUUUCUUGGUAAUGAUUCUAAUGUUCAUGAGAAUAUGAUGCUGCCUAAAUUGGAUACAUUUGUUUUGCUUACAAAUGAGGGGCCUAGCUUGGAGAAGGAUGAACAUUGGAGCAAGAACAAGCAUGGAGAUGAUGGCAUGCGCAAGGGGAACAAGAACGGAGUUACAAGUGAUGAUUUCAGGACUUUGAAGCCACCAUAAUGGGUGCAUGAAGCCUUGGACGAAAUAUACAAGAUGCCACUUCAUAAAUUUCGUCCCGAGGCUAUUUUAGGUGCUGCGUCACCUUAUUAUUGGGCCAGGCCCAUGUAAUUUCGAAAUACAUAAGUAUAGGCUAUUUUUAGAGUCCGUAUGUGUGGGGAAACAAGAGAUAGGGUUGAUUUCGGACCCCUCCACCAAGGGCCACGAAAUUCCCCCCUCUUCCUCCAUAUAUACAGCCCUUAGGGCAUCGUUUAGACUCUGGGUUUUGUUUAGAUUAAAAGUUCGCCAUAGCUGCAACUUCGCGUACUUCGUUUGUGUUCAACGACCAGACAAAGGCGUCACAGAACCCCACCUUGAUCAAUAAAGCUUUCAUCUUAUAUUCGCAAUAUCCAGAUUGCAAUCUCAGUUUCUUGCUUGUUCUUCGUUUGCUCGCAGGAAACAGACCCUCGUGGUCAGGUUGAUCGUGCUCCGGCGUGGUCAAUAACCUCUCGGAGUUGGUUUAGCGAUUGCUAAGGCGCGACGUCCUCGCACGUUCGUAGUCGGAUCGUCAAAGUCGACUUCCACCAAAGCGAAAUCCACCAUCUCAUCGAAAGACGGGACACCUUUGCCUCUAUCAAUUCCAGCUAGCUCCGUUCGUCUUUUGUUGUUGCAGGAGGCGCAUGGAGGAGGAUUAAUGGGACACUUUGGCGUGAAGAAGACGGAGGACGUACUUGCUACACAUUUCUUUUGGCCAAAGAUGAGACGGGAUGUUGAGCGUUUUAUUGCUCGAUGCACUACAUGUCAAAAAGCUAAGUCACGACUCAAUCCUCAUGGUUUAUAUAUGCCUUUGCCUGUACCUAGUGUUCCUUGGGAGGAUAUAUCUAUGGACUUUGUUUUAGGUUUACCUCGAACAAAGAAGGGGAGGGAUGGCAUAUUUGUUGUCGUGGAUAGAUUCUCGAAAAUGGCACACUUUAUACCAUGUCAUAAAAGCGAUGAUGCUGUUAAUGUUGCUGAUUUGUUCUUUCGUGAAAUUAUUCGCUUGCAUGGUGUGCCAAAUACUAUUGUUUCAGAUCGUGAUACUAAAUUUCUUAGCCACUUUUGGAGAUGUUUAUGGGCUAAGUUGGGGACUAAAUUGCUUUUUAGUACUACUUGUCACCCCCAAACUGAUGGACAAACUGAAGUAGUCAAUAGAACGUUGUCUACUAUGCUUAGGGCUGUUUUGAAGAAUAAUAAGAAAAUGUGGGAGGAAUGCUUGCCUCAUAUUGAAUUUGCUUAUAAUCGUUCAUUGCAUUCUACUACUAAGAUGUGCCCUUUUGAAGUUGUGUAUGGUUUCCUACCUCGUGCACCUAUUGAUUUGUUGCCUCUUCCAUCUUCGGAGAAGGUUAAUUUUGAUGCUAAACAACGUGCUGAAUUGAUUUUAAAAAUGCAUGAGUUAACUAAGGAAAACAUUGAGCGCAUGAAUGCUAAAUAUAAACUUGCUGGAGAUAAGGGUAGAAAACAUGUUGUGUUUGCACCUGGAGAUCCUUUUUGGUUACAUUUGCGUAAGGAUAGAUUUCCUGAUUUGUGCAAAUCGAAGUUAAUGCCACGUGCUGAUGGUCCCUUUAAGGUGUUAGAAAAAAUAAAUGAUAAUGCAUAUAAACUGGAGCUGCCUGCAGAUUUUGGGGUUAGUCCCACUUUUAACAUUUUAGAUUUGAAGCCUUAUUUGGGUGAGGAAGAUGAACUUCCGCCGAGGACGACUUCAUUUCAAGAAGGGGAGGAUGAUGAGGACAUCAAUACAACUGUUACACCCACAGCCCCUGCUGCUAUACAUACUGGACCAAUUACUAGAGCUCGUGCACACCAACUAAAUUACCAGGAACUUUCGUUUCUUCGUAAUGAUUCUAAUGUUCAUGAGAAUAUGAUGCUGCCUAAAUUGGAUACAUUUGUUUUGCUUACAAAUGAAGGGCCUAGCUUGGAGAAGGAUGAACAUUGGAGCAAGAACAAGCAUGGAGAUGAUGGCAUGCACAAGGGGAACAAGAACGGAGUUACAAGUGAUGAUUUCAGGACUUUGAAGCCACCAUAAUGGGUGCAUGAAGCCUUGGACGAAAUAUACAAGAUGCCACUUCAUAAAUUUCGUCCCGAGGCUAUUUUAGGUGCUGCGUCACCUUAUUAUUGGGCCAGGCCCAUGUAAUUUUGAAAUACAUAAGUAUAGGCUAUUUUUAGAGUCCUUAUGUGUGGGGAAACAAGAGAUAGGGUUGAUUUCGGACCCCUCCACCAAGGGCCACGAAAUUCCCCCCCUCUUCCUCCAUAUAUACAGCCCUUAGGGCAUCGUUUAGACUUUGGGUUUUGUUUAGAAUAAAAGUUCGCCAUAGCUGCAACUUCGCGUACUUCGUUUGUGUUCAACGACCAGACAAAGGCGUCACAGAACCCCACCUUGAUCAAUAAAGCUUUCAUCUUAUAUUCGCAAUAUCCAGAUUGCAAUCUUAGUUUCUUGCUUGUUCUUCGUUUGCUCGCAGGAAACAGACCCUCAUGGUCAGGUUGAUCGUGCUCCGGCGUGGUCAAUAACCUCUCGGAGUUGGUUUAGCGAUUGCUAAGGCGCGACGUCCUCGCACGUUCGUAGUCGGAUCGUCAAAGUCGACUGCCACCAAAGCGAUAUCCAUCAUCUCAUCGAAAGACGGGACACCUUUGCCUCUAUCAGUAUGCUCAACUCGUAUAGUGCCGGAGUCACUUAGCCAUUGGACCUUGUAGGGGUGCGGGUGCUUCCUCUUGACCAAUUGAAGCUUGGAGCAUAAUUCUUCACUUGCCAAGUUGUGGCAACUACCUCCAUCGAUGAUGACCUUGACGGACUUUCCAUUGAUGCCGGCCUUUGUGUGGAAGAUGUGGCAUCUUUGGUCUUCUUCUUGUUGAUGUUGAAGUGUCAAGACUUUGGAGACAACGAGAGCGGGGCUCGAAUCCUCAUCACAAAAGACUUGAUCAUCUUCAUCUUUGUUCACGCGCUGGUGCAUGGCCACUUGCUCAAGGGCUUCCAUCUCCUCUUCACUCAUUGAGUCAUAUGUGCCGUCGUCGUUGAGGAUCAUGGUGCACUUAUUCGUGCAUUCAUAUGACUUGUGGCCUCGGCCGCCGCAAGUGAAACACUUGAAGGAGCUUGUUUUGACGGUCUCAUCGGUCGGAGUAGAUGAUGAAGCACGCGGCUUGAAGUUGCUUGUAGUAGGAGGAAGACGACUUGAACUUGUCGGAUUUUUCUUGUAACUUGACUUGUCGUCGUUGCUUGGAGAAGGUUUGGUUGACGUAGAUGUUGGAGGAGUCGUUGAAGCUUGGAUGUUGGAGAAGCCGUAGGUCUUGGAUGAGUACUUGGCGUACUUGAAGUCAUCUUGCACUUGACGUUCUGCCUUGGUUGCUUGAUGCACGAGCUCAAUGAGGUUGGAAUAUGGUUUUAAGUCGGCGAUCUUCUUGAUGGGAUGAUUGAGUCCAUUCAAGAAACGUGCCAUUGUUUGCUCAUCAUCUUCCUUGACAUUGGCUCGAAUCAUGGCUAUCUCCAUUGAUGAGGACAUCAAUACCAUUGUUACACCCACAGCCCCUACUGCUACAUAUACGGAACCAAUUACUAGAGCUCGCGCACGCCAAUUAAAUUAUCAGGUACUUUCGUUUCUUGGUAAUGAUUCUAAUGUUCAUGAGAAUAUGAUGCUGCCUAAAUUGGAUACAUUUGUUUUGCUUACAAAUGAAGGGCCUAGCUUGGAGAAGGAUGAACAUUGGAGCAAGAACAAGCAUGGAGAUGAUGCCAUGCGCAAGGGGAACAAGAACGGAGUUACAAGUGAUGAUUUCAGGACUUUGAAGCCACCAUAAUGGGUGCAUGAAGCCUUGGGCGAAAUAUACAAGAUGCCACUUCAUAAAUUUCGUCCUGAGGCUAUUAUAGGUGCCGCGUCACCUUUUUAUUGGGCCAGGCCCAUGUAAUUUCGAAAUACAUAAGUAUAGGCUAUUUUUAGAGUCCGUAUGUGUGGGGAAACAAGAGAUAGGGUUGAUUUCGGACCCCUCCACCAAGGGCCACGAAAUUCCCCCUCUCUUCCUCCAUAUAUACAGCCCUUAGGGCACCGUUUAGACUUUGGGUUUUGUUUAGAUUAAAAGUUCGCCAUAGCUGCAACUUCGCGUACUUCGUUUGUGUUCAACGACCAGACAAAGGCGUCACAGAACCCCACCUUGAUCAAUAAAGCUUUCAUCUUAUAUUCGCAAUAUCCAGAUUGCAAUCUUAGUUUCUUGCUUGUUCUUCGUUUGCUCGCAGGAAACAGACCCUCGUGGUCAGGUUGAUCGUGCUCCGGCGUGGUCAAUAACCUCUCGGAGUUGGUUUAGCGAUUGCUAAGGCGCGACGUCCUCGCACGUUCGUAGUCGGAUCGUCAAAGUCGACUUCCACCAAAGCGAUAUCCAUCAUCUCAUCGAAAGACGGGACACCUCCGCAUCAAUACAAUUGUUACACCCACAGCCCCUGCUGCUAUACAUACUGGACCAAUUACUAGAGCUCGUGCACGCCAACUAAAUUACCAGGUACUCUCGUUUCUUGGUAAUGAUUCUAAUGUUCAUGAGAAUAUGAUGCUGCCUAAAUUGGAUACAUUUGUUUUGCUUACAAAUGAAGGGCCUAGCUUGGAGAAGGAUGAACAUUGGAGCAAGAACAAGCAUGGAGAUGAUGGCAUGCGCAAGGAGAACAAGAACGGAGUUACAAGUGAUGAUUUCAGGACUUUGAAGCCACCAUAAUGGGUGCAUGAAGCCUUGGACGAAAUAUACAAGAUGCCACUUCAUAAAUUUCGUCCCGAGGCUAUUUUAGGUGCUGCGUCACCUUAUUAUUGGGCCAGGCCCAUGUAAUUUCGAAAUACAUAAGUAUAGGCUAUUUUUAGAGUUCGUAUGUGUGGGGAAACAAGAGAUAGGGUUGAUUUCGGACCCCUCCACCAAGGGCCACGAAAUUCCCCCCUCUUCCUCCAUAUAUACAGCCCUUAGGGCAUCGUUUAGACUUUGGGUUUUGUUUAGAUUAAAAGUUCGCCAUAGCUGCAACUUUGCGUACUUCGUUUGUGUUCAACGACCAGACAAAGGCGUCACAGAACCCCACCUUGAUCAAUAAAGCUUUCAUCUUAUAUUCGCAAUAUCCAGAUUGCAAUCUUAGUUUCUUGCUUGUUCUUCGUUUGCUCGCAGGAAACAGACCCUCGUGGUCAGGUUGAUCGUGCUCCGGCGUGGUCAAUAACCUCUCGGAGUUGGUUUAGCGAUUGCUAAGGCGUGACGUCCUCGCACGUUCGUAGUCGGAUCGUCAAAGUCGACUUCCACCAAAGCGAUAUCCAUCAUCUCAUCGAAAGACGGGACACCUUUGCCUCUAUCAAGUGGUAUCAGAUUUCCAGGUUGCUCGGUGAGAUUUUACAGUUUUUCGUAGUUUAGAUCGAGUCUGUUCUUCAUACCUAUAGUCCACGAAAAAGCCAAAAAAAAAUUAGGGUUAGUUCAUCCCAUCCGAACCAAUCUGAGCCUUUGCAUAAUCUUUUCUGUAUUUGCUUUGUUGAAUUUGCGGUUGCAUCGUCGUGUCAAGUUGCUGGUCUUAGCGUCUAGUCUUUUAGAGUUUCGAGUUCUGUUCACAGGUUGUCACGUCGCCGCUGCCAUAUACCACCACCACAUAUUCACCGCCAAUCCGAAUCCAUAUACGCCACCACAUAUCCGCCGCCAUCACGCCCAUCCGAGUCCACCUGCAACAUAUAUCCGCCACCAAUCCGAGUUCCACCAGAUUCAUCUCCGCCACCAGUCCGAGUUCCACCAGUUUCAUCUCCGCCACCAGUCCUAGUCCGAG